UUAUUUUUUUUCUUAACGUGCGACGGAAGAGUCAUUUCUGACAACCUUCAUUGCCAAUGCAAUAGCAGAAAAAGGCGUCUCCACGUUCAAAUCCCUUGUGUACCCCGUCGCUACCCGGAGACCGCUCCGAGGGGCGGAGACUUUGCCGCCACAGAAGCGUUCGGCGACUUCCUCCCUGCAGCGGCUGCGCGCUUUGACGCAUACGAAAAGAGGCGGCUCUCCGGGGCUGGCCCUCCCAUAACCAGACGGCUGUGUUGCCUGCAGAAGCGGAGGGCCGCGCUCGCUGAUUUUUGAUCAUACCCGUUACCACUGUGCCGGCCACUAAAGUCAGCCGGUGAAUUUCAUAAAUUAAACAGUGAGGAUAUUUUCUUAAGAGAAAUUCAGAGCAAACACAACUGAAUUAUAACUGGUUGGUUUUUUUUAAGGUUCUAAAGUUAUCCAGCAGUCUAGCGUAAUGAACACAGAUGUGAGCAACUAUGCAUCCUAAGGAAGGCAACCGAGACGCGGAAGUGACAGACGUUCUGCGAAUAACAAACAGUGGAAUAAUAAACGAAUUCAAUAUUUAAAUAGGUUUACAUUUUCAGAGAUAGCUAUACUGAAUAUGAUCUGUCAUCAGAUCCGAAUGUUGGAAGGUUAAAGAAAAUGAGAUAUUAUCAGACGUCCUAUUUCUCAUGGCUGGAGUUCCCACUUCUAAUUUUAUGCAGCUCAUGUGCCUUUAAGCGUGCAGAAAUGCAAAUAUUGGAAUCCUCCCUCCCCCCCAUAGAAGUGAGAAUUUCUGCUGGGUCAUGCAGCUGCACAAGAGCCCUGUCAGUACAAGAAGGUGGCAGCCCUAUUGAAGGAACCUCUCUUUUUUGACAGCUAGGGAAAGAUCUGUCAAAUCUGGCAGACUGUUUCGGGAAGUGUUGGGAAAGCCUUUGUACGCUUGUCCGCCCCCCCCUUCCUAAUUUUCAUGUCAGUGCUGUGAGGAAAAAGAGCUGGUGGAAUACAUUAAACAAGAGGAUCCCAGAGACUUGUGCAAAGCAGAGGACUGCUGCCAGCCAGUUACUGAAUUUGAAGGAAAUACAUUUUCUGGAAAUAAGUUUUCCCGAGACCUUUUAUAGUUUGCUUAUCUCCAGCAUCACAGUUCAUCGUCAUCAGAUAGGGCAUCAAGAUAGUCUGUAUCAACAUACAAGAGGAAUCCUGAAAACAGACUGUCCGCCCAUGUGGGAUCAGCAAAAAGGCCAUUCUGAUCGGUGUAGAAGAUCUCAAGCCAUACUUGAUCCUCUGGCUGAAGUUUAAAAGAAAAUAUUCCUUUGAAAUUUGUAGUGUGAUCCGUGAUCUCCAGGAAGACCUGCAGGACCUGGCAAUCCAGAGAUGGAUAUGUCUGAAACAUGGUAUAUAUAUAUAUAUAUAUAUAUAUAUACAGGGUUGAAUGACAGAGAACAGAAAUUUGAGAGAAAAUCUGCACAAGACAUCCGGCAGCUGCUAAACACAGAUGAGAGGUGUCACCUUCCCAGACUCUUAUGGGUAUCAUUCAAAGAAUCUGGUUUCCAAAAACAAAACUUGUGGCUUUGACAAAAACAAGGGCUGGAGAGAGAUCCAUAGAUAUCAUGUAACAUCACUGUUCUUUUGUGAAAGUCCCUGGACACUCAUCAGUUGCCUAUUUAUUCACACCUGUGAUCCAGAUUUCGUCAGCAUUGGUAACAGUGCUUUCCUGGAACUUCCUUUCUUCAGUGGCUCUACAAAAAUACAUUGUAGCAAAUAUAUCAAUCCUCACUAGGAAGCUGAUAUAGAAAAAGCUGUUGCAACCAACUGAACUGCCUGUGCUGUGAAUGAGUCAGUGGCAUCUACGUGUAUGUUUUGGGGUUCUUUUCCAUGCAUGUGUCACCUGGCAAGGAGGGAAGGUGAUGGAAACUGCAAUUCACAUUCACAUGUUGCUGCAUUCAAAAAUUACCACAUUGUUGUAGAAUAAUCCACAUGAAACUGGGUCCUAUACUGUGGCCAAUAAAGUAUUAAUUGGCCCUAAAAACCAUGGGUUUGUGUGGAAUUUACUUCCAAAUAUGUCUGUGUCUAUGGUGUGGUUCACACAUGCAAGUACAGAACUGGACGUCUCUGCACUUAAACUUGAUGACUCACAGCAGACUGUAUGAAGAAACUCUAUUGAAAAUAAUAGUGCAUGAGGAAGUGUGAAAGUUUACACAUCAAAAGUCAUCCCUGUAUGUUGCAGUCAUCAAAUGCUGAACAUGUGUGAAGUAGUUCUAUGGUUCCAGCCUUUAUGUACCAUCUAAAGUGUCUCCAACUCUCACAUUUUAUUCUUUGGAGAAAACGGAAUCCUCAGAAUCCCUGUAAUCAUUCCUUAUGCAGGAGUAUGCAAUAAUUUAAUUUGGAUGGAUAUAUUGUUCAUUGUUACCUAUGGAAAACAUUAGUGAGGAUUCAUUGAACUCCACCCUCCCCAUGCACUGAAAGUAUGUGUGUGAGGAUUGCAGGUUUGCACUGUUAGCCCCACUCGCAAUGCACACAGUGGCCGUGCAGUCAGAAUCAGCAGCCAUGGAAAGGGGUGCUAAAUCGAUAUAGAUGUAGAAGGAAAGGGAAGGGAAUCUCCUUUGUGUGGAGGAGCUAUAAACACAUUAUAUGUGUUCAAAGUCCCGUCACACUACUGAACAUGCAGCUAGUUGGGGAGGGGCGCCACACAAAUCUUCAGUGCAUGAGGUGAUUUGAAUCAAUCCCCUUAUUAGGACCAUCACUGAUAGAUUUUAUGGCAGCUUACCAAGGAGUUUAAAGAUGGAACUACAGAGUGGCUACCAAAAAUGGCAAUACUGUGUCAAUUUCUCUUCUCUGUCCCAUAAGUUUUAGACAUAAUAAUAUUGUACAACUUUCUGUCUGAGUUCCAAGUCACUGGCUGACAUUGUUGGGGGCAGGGAAGAGUGGAAUCUGAGUACCUCUUAGAAGGAGAGCGGUGUUUUACUGCACAGGGAUGAAUGGGGAAGGAGUCUAAUACCCAUGAAUUAUUGGGAACAGGCAACCUUGCAUGCUGCCACUAGGGGGCAGAUUUAUACAUACUUUAAACAGUAAAAGGGAGAAUUGUCCUCUCUGGCCAGACUUGGGGAAACUCCAAAGUUUGCUGUGAUGUAGCUUCCUGUUUGAAUUGUUGUUUUGUCCUCUCCUCCUUCUUGCUGUGCUGCCUUUGGAAUUCUUCAGUAUCUCAUUGAGCAAGCAGGGGUGGGGCUGCUUGCCAGAAGCUGAAAAUGACGGACUGAAAGUAACCUCCAUUUCUUCUUUCUGAUUUCCUGAACUGUGCCUAUACCACUGUAUAUGUGAAGUGUCCAUGAAUAAUUUUUUUAAUAUUCUUUACUGGAGAAAGCUUGAUUGGUUUAUUCUUCUAGACUAUGUGAGGGGGGAGGGGGGACUGAUUAUUGCUCAUUCCCUUUUUUUGCAAUUUUACUCUGCUAGAAAUAGAACCAAAUAAUUGUUUUAUCUCAUCAACCUCAACCCCAACAUGAAUCUCCUGGGGCAAUUUAUUAUAUGGGAUUAUUAACUGAUAGCCAUAACAGUUCUGGGAGAUCCAGGGUCGAUGGAGGUUGUGUUAUUUUAAUGAUUCAGUACAAAGUUGAGAUGGGAUCCAAAGACCGUGCCCAAAGGCCAAAACUGUCCAGUGAGAUUUUAUUUCAUUUUAUUUUAUUUGAGCAGCAGACCUGCAACCCUCUCCCAUGCUAUGUUAUAAACUGCUUUUUAAGUCCCCACACUUUCAAGAGCAAUUUGUGGUGUGGCAUAAGGGGUGUGUGUCUAGGAUAAGUCUGCUACUAGUUAUAUCCCAGCCUUGGAAUAUAAGUUGCUAAAGGACAAACUUUGUGAUGGGAGAACGGACCACAUUGGUUUAUUGAUGCCUCUGCCCCAUUCACAUAUAAGGUGUGAAAUGAAUUCUCCCACCUUGCACUCCCAUCACUUCAGACACUUUUCUCCCAGCUUGGUUCAGUUUUAGUACCAGAGCCAGGUUGGGAGAAAACUUCCUAAACCAUGAGAAAAUGAAAUAUUUGUGUAGGUUCAACUUCCUGCACCUGUGUGUCCCUUUUUAUAUAAACUGAGAGACACACAUCUGUCCAUGAUUUCCAUGUGAAUAAACAUCUGAAUAAACAUGCAACACUUCACUGUCUGGUGUAGCCCUAAAGAUCAGUAUACAUUUGCUGCUGUGUGUUGUGGCCACUGGGGAUGGGGGAGAAAUUCGGGUCAGUUUGCACAGAAAGCAGAAUUUAUCAAAUCUGCACUUAUCAAAACUAUAUGAGAACUGAAACACAGACAUCCUUCAAAAUUCGCACUUAUCCAAAUUUUGUGAUGCAGUUCUGCA